CCAGACUCCUACGGGAGGCAGCAGUGGGGAAUAUUGGGCAAUGGGCGCAAGCCUGACCCAGCAACGCCGCGUGAAGGAAGAAGGCUUUCGGGUUGUAAACUUCUUUUCUCAGGGACGAAGAAAGUGACGGUACCUGAGGAAUAAGCCACGGCUAACUACGUGCCAGCAGCCGCGGUAAUACGUAGGUGGCAAGCGUUAUCCGGAUUUAUUGGGUGUAAAGGGCGUGUAGGCGGGAGCGCAAGUCAGAUGUGAAAACUCAGGGCUCAACCCUGAGCCUGCAUUUGAAACUGUGUUUCUUGAGUGCUGGAGAGGCAAUCGGAAUUCCGUGUGUAGCGGUGAAAUGCGUAGAUAUACGGAGGAACACCAGUGGCGAAGGCGGCCUGCUGGACGAUGACUGACGUUGAGGCUCGAAAGCGUGGGGAGCAAACAGGAUUAGAUACCCCGGUACU
rnacentral:rRNA from 1 species